AGAGUUUGAUCCUGGCUCAGGAUGAACGCUGGCGGUGCGCCUAAUGCAUGCAAGUCGAACGACGCAUAUUGGAGGGGUAACCCAUCGAUAUGACGGAGUGGCGAACGGGUGAGGAACACGUGAGUAAUCUGCCCCACAGACCGGGAUAGCCCAGGGAAACCUGGAUUAAUACCGGAUGACCUCGUAGGACCACAUGGUCUCUCGAGGAAAUGCCUUUGUGCUGUGGGAUGAGCUCGCGGCUUAUCAGCUAGUUGGUGGGGUAACGGCCUACCAAGGCAUUGACGAGUAGCUGGUCUGAGAGGACGAUCAGCCACACUGGAACUGAGACACGGUCCAGACUCCUACGGGAGGCAGCAGCAGGGAAUCUUGCGCAAUGGACGAAAGUCUGACGCAGCGACACCGCGUGGGGGAUGAAGGCCUUCGGGUUGUAAACCCCUUUCAGGAGGGAAGAAAUUGACGGUACCUCCAAAAGAAGCACCGGCCAACUACGUGCCAGCAGCCGCGGUAAUAUGUAGGGUGCGAGCGUUAUCCGGAAUCAUUGGGCGUAAAGAGCUCGUAGGCGGUUCAGCAAGUCGGCUGUGAAAGUUCGAGGCUCAACCUCGAAAUUGCAGUCGAUACUGCUGUGACUCGAGUCCGGUAGAGGAGAAUGGAAUUCUCGGUGUAGCGGUGAAAUGCGCAGAUAUCGAGAGGAACACCAGU
rnacentral:rRNA from 1 species